rnacentral:lncRNA from 1 species
GUGCUCAUAUUUGCAUAUUAAAUAAAAUAAACACUUUUCAUGUCAAAUUAACUUGUCUUCUGUUUCAGCUGCUGUGUAUUCGACCCCCUACAUAACAGUUCAGUGCAUAAAUAAUUCAAUCCACAAGACAUCUUCCUUCAAUUUGUUGAAUAAAUUUUGGCAACGUAUGUUCUUCAAACAUCUUCUUUGUAUAUUUGAUAUGAUGGAGCCAUGUACAUGAAUUGAUAAAGCAGGUGUUUAUUUCGACAACAAACAUGACAAAGAUACUAUUUUUUUUCUUAAUUUCUCCAUAAUCCAUCAGUUAAUAUGAAUGUAGGUUGUUACAUUUUACACAAUUGUGUUCUUUGAUAGUACUCCAUUUUGUUUAUAGCAAUUUUGUAGGAUUUUUUCUAUUUCUUUUU